GCUUAACACUUGCAAGUCGAGGGGCAGCAUUUUAUUUUGGUUGCAAACUGAAGAUGGCGACCGGCGCACGGGUGAGUAACACGUAUCCAACCUGCCGAUAACUCCGGAAUAGCCUUUCGAAAGAAAGAUUAAUACCGGAUAGCAUACGAAUAUCGCAUGAUAUUUUUAUUAAAGAAUUUCGGUUAUCGAUGGGGAUGCGUUCCAUUAGUUUGUUGGCGGGGUAACGGCCCACCAAGACUACGAUGGAUAGGGGUUCUGAGAGGAAGGUCCCCCACAUUGGAACUGAGACACGGUCCAAACUCCUACGGGAGGCAGCAGUGAGGAAUAUUGGUCAAUGGGCGAGAGCCUGAACCAGCCAAGUAGCGUGAAGGAUGAAGGCUCUAUGGGUCGUAAACUUCUUUUAUAUGGGAAUAAAGUUUUCCAUGUGUGGAAUUUUGUAUGUACCAUAUGAAUAAGGAUCGGCUAACUCCGUGCCAGCAGCCGCGGUAAUACGGAGGAUCCGAGCGUUAUCCGGAUUUAUUGGGCUUAAAGGGAGCGUAGGUGGAUUGUUAAGUCAGUUGUGAAAGUUUGCGGCUCAACCGUAAAAUUGCAGUUGAAACUGGCAGUCUUGAGUACAGUAGAGGUGGGCGGAAUUCGUGGUGUAGCGGUGAAAUGCUUAGAUAUCACGAAGAACUCCGAUUGCGAAGGCAGCUCACUAGACUGUCACUGACACUGAUGCUCGAAAGUGUGGGUAUCAAACAGGAUUAGAUACCCUGGUAGUCCACACAGUAAACGAUGAAUACUCGCUGUUUGCGAUAUACAGUAAGCGGCCAAGCGAAAGCAUUAAGUAUUCCACCUGGGGAGUACGCCGGCAACGGUGAAACUCAAAGGAAUUGACGGGGGCCCGCACAAGCGGAGGAACAUGUGGUUUAAUUCGAUGAUACGCGAGGAACCUUACCCGGGCUUAAAUUGCAACAGAAUAUAUUGGAAACAGUAUAGCCGUAAGGCUGUUGUGAAGGUGCUGCAUGGUUGUCGUCAGCUCGUGCCGUGAGGUGUCGGCUUAAGUGCCAUAACGAGCGCAACCCUUAUCUUUAGUUACUAACAGGUCAUGCUGAGGACUCUAGAGAGACUGCCGUCGUAAGAUGUGAGGAAGGUGGGGAUGACGUCAAAUCAGCACGGCCCUUACGUCCGGGGCUACACACGUGUUACAAUGGGGGGUACAGAAGGCGGCUACCUGGUGACAGGAUGCUAAUCCCAAAAACCUCUCUCAGUUCGGAUCGAAGUCUGCAACCCGACUUCGUGAAGCUGGAUUCGCUAGUAAUCGCGCAUCAGCCAUGGCGCGGUGAAUACGUUCCCGGGCCUUGUACACACCGCCCGUCAAGCCAUGAAAGCCGGGGGUACCUGAAGUACGUAACCGCAAGGAGCGUCCUAGGGUAAAACUGGUAAUUGG
rnacentral:rRNA from 1 species